GAAUAUUCGUUGAAUAGAACUGGCAU
rnacentral:piRNA from 1 species